GAUGAACGCUAGCGGCAGGCUUAANACAUGCAAGUCGAGGGGCAGCGCAGUGUAGCAAUACAUGGGCGGCGACCGGCAAACGGGUGCGGAACACGUACACAACCUUCCUAUAAGUGGGGGAUAGCCCAGAGAAAUUUGGAUUAAUACCCCGUAAGAUAACGAUGUGGCAUCACAAUGUUAUUAAAGCUACGGCGCUUAUUGAUGGGUGUGCGGCUGAUUAGAUAGUUGGCGGGGUAAAGGCCCACCAAGUCUACGAUCAGUAGCUGAUGUGAGAGCAUGAUCAGCCACACGGGCACUGAGACACGGGCCCGACUCCUACGGGAGGCAGCAGUAAGGAAUAUUGGUCAAUGGACGCAAGUCUGAACCAGCCAUGCCGCGUGAAGGAUUAAGGUCCUCUGGAUUGUAAACUUCUUUUAUAUGGACGAAAAAAGGACAUUCUUGUCCGUCUGACGGUACCAUAUGAAUAAGCACCGGCUAA
rnacentral:rRNA from 1 species